AGUGAACGCUGGCGGUAGGCCUAACACAUGCAAGUCGAACGGCAGCACAGUAAGAGCUUGCUCUUACGGGUGGCGAGUGGCGUACGGGUGAGGAAUACAUCGGAAUCUACUUUUUCGUGGGGGAUAACGUAGGGAAACUUACGCUAAUACCGCAUACGACCUACGGGUGAAAGCAGGGGAUCUUCGGACCUUGCGCGAUUUAAUUAGCCGAUGUCGGAUUAGCUAGUUGGCGGGGUAAAGGCCCACCAAGGCGACGAUCCGUAGCUGGUCUGAGAGGAUGAUCAGCCACACUGGAAAUGAGACACGGUCAAGACUCCCACGGGAGGCAGCAGUGGGGAAUAUUGGACAAUGGGCGCAAGCCUGAUCCAGCAAUACCGCGUGGGUGAAGAAGGCCUUCGGGUUGUAAAGCCCUUUUGUUGGGAAAGAAAAGCAGCAGGUUAAUACCCCGCUGUUCUGACGGUACCCAAAGAAUAAGCACCGGCUAACUUCGUG
rnacentral:rRNA from 1 species